CAAGUACUACCUCCGUCCGAAAAAGCUUGUCCCUCAAAUGGAUGUAUCUAGCACUAACUUGGUGCUAAAUACAUUCAUUUGAGGGACAAGCUUUUUCGGACGGAGGGAGUACUCA
rnacentral:pre_miRNA from 1 species